rnacentral:rRNA from 1 species
AGUCGAACGGCAGCACGAGGGCAACCCUGGUGGCGAGUGGCGAACGGGUGAGUAAUAUAUCGGAACGUACCCAGUAGUGGGGGAUAACUAUCCGAAAGGAUAGCUAAUACCGCAUACGAUCUGUGGAUGAAAGCAGGGGAUCUUCGGACCUUGUGCUAUUGGAAUGGCCGAUAUCUGAUUAGCUAGUUGGUAGGGUAAAAGCCUACCAAGGCGACGAUCAGUAGCUGGUCUGAGAGGACGACCAGCCACACUGGAACUGAGACACGGUCCAGACUCCUACGGGAGGCAGCAGUGGGGAAUUUUGGACAAUGGGGGCAACCCUGAUCCAGCAAUGCCGCGUGAGUGAAGAAGGCCCUCGGGUUGUAAAGCUCUUUUGUCAGGGAAGAAACGGUGAUCUCUAAUAUAGAUUGCUAAUGACGGUACCUGAAGAAUAAGCACCGGCUAACUACGUGCCAGCAGCCGCGGUAAUACGUAGGGUGCAAGCGUUAAUCGGAAUUACUGGGCGUAAAGCGUGCGCAGGCGGUUUUGUAAGUCUGAUGUGAAAUCCCCGGGCUCAACCUGGGAACUGCAUUGGAGACUGCAAGGCUAGAGUGUGUCAGAGGGGGUAGAAUUCCCGUGUAGCAGUGAAAUGCGUAGAGAUGUGGAGGAAUACCGAUGGCGA